UGCACUGAUUUCAACAAUGAAGCGAGUGGCGAACUGGUGAGUAACACGUGGGGAAUCUGCCCAGAAGCAGGGGAUAACACUUGGAAACAGGUGCUAAUACCGUAUAACAACAAAAUCCGCAUGGAUUUUGUUUGAAAGGUGGCUUCGGCUAUCACUUCUGGAUGAUCCCGCGGCGUAUUAGUUAGUUGGUGAGGUAAAGGCCCACCAAGACGAUGAUACGUAGCCGACCUGAGAGGGUAAUCGGCCACAUUGGGACUGAGACACGGCCCAAACUCCUACGGGAGGCAGCAGUAGGGAAUCUUCCACAAUGGACGAAAGUCUGAUGGAGCAAUGCCGCGUGAGUGAAGAAGGGUUUCGGCUCGUAAAACUCUGUUGUUAAAGAAGAACACCUUUGAGAGUAACUGUUCAAGGGUUGACGGUAUUUAACCAGAAAGCCACGGCUAACUACGUGCCAGCAGCCGCGGUAAUACGUAGGUGGCAAGCGUUGUCCGGAUUUAUUGGGCGUAAAGCGAGCGCAGGCGGUUUUUUAAGUCUGAUGUGAAAGCCUUCGGCUUAACCGGAGAAGUGCAUCGGAAACUGGGAGACUUGAGUGCAGAAGAGGACAGUGGAACUCCAUGUGUAGCGGUGGAAUGCGUAGAUAUAUGGAAGAACACCAGUGGCGAAGGCGGCUGUCUAGUCUGUAACUGACGCUGAGGCUCGAAAGCAUGGGUAGCGAACAGGAUUAGAUACCCUGGUAGUCCAUGCCGUAAACGAUGAGUGCUAAGUGUUGGAGGGUUUCCGCCCUUCAGUGCUGCAGCUAACGCAUUAAGCACUCCGCCUGGGGAGUACGACCGCAAGGUUGAAACUCAAAGGAAUUGACGGGGGCCCGCACAAGCGGUGGAGCAUGUGGUUUAAUUCGAAGCUACGCGAAGAACCUUACCAGGUCUUGACAUCUUCUGCCAAUCUUAGAGAUAAGACGUUCCCUUCGGGGACAGAAUGACAGGUGGUGCAUGGUUGUCGUCAGCUCGUGUCGUGAGAUGUU
rnacentral:rRNA from 1 species